UCAUAAUUGGACACAGAAAACCGUAGUCAACCAAAGUUUUGGCAGUUCAUCCCCGUUUUUGACAGAUUUUUUUUUUUUUAUUUGUAUUUUUUAAUGCGUUUGUAAUAGACGUCACUAAUUCGCGGAGUUUUGCUUUUGGUGGACAGGCCCGGCCGGUUCCUUUUCCCCCGCGAAUAACGGGGGUCCACGAUGACAUUUCAGAAAUGAUUUAAGAAAAAAAAAAAGCUGGAGUUGUGUUGCGAACGUUUACGCACGACCUCCGAGGAGAUAUUAUGGGAUGCCGUGUCAUCUUGACCCACGAUCAACAAUUGGUUGCGCCCUCUCCCCCGCCCCGCCCCCCCUUUCCCAAAUCAGUAAAUCAAUGAGGACUCGGCGGCUCGCUGCUUAUUGGCUCCCUCCGUGGAGUGACGUCCACUCGCAUCCACUUGCCCGCCUCUCCACAAGGGGGGAGAGGCUCUCCACCGCCACCACCUCCUCCUCCUCCUCCUCCUUCCGCGCCUCCUGCUCCUCCUCCCGGACGCGGUGUGUGGAAACAACACGCGUGGAACGCCGGACGCCAGCUUUUGGCCGCUUCGCUCCCGCCAUGGACGCCGACGCAACAGGGCGUGGGUGACGGCAGAGUCAUGUGGCUAACAGAAGCGGCCACACUGCUUUGAUGCCAAUGGUGAUGAUGAUGUUGCCCUUCAUCUUCCUCGCUGGUUCACCUGAGGAAAGCCUUGUUUUCCUCUACAAGUGUAAAAACAAGUUCAGCCGCCUUUACGUGACCUGAACUAAUCCCCCUGCACAAAUUAAAGCGGAUUCAAACAAAUUGAAUGGGAUGCCGUGUUGUCGUCGAGACCACACCAACCGAGACCAUGACGUUAUUGAGACUAGAGAGUGCUGAGACCGAGACCGAGACAAGACCAAGACUGUGCAUAUCAAUAAUUUUUUCAUUCCGUUUGCAACAAA